CUAAGGAGAAAGGCUUACUAACACUAAGCAUUAAAAAACAAUUUCUUCAUUUGUUCAUCAUAUUCAGUUUUGAGAGACUUUGACUUGUUUCUCAAGAAGUAUCAAAUAAAGUCUUUGAAAAGUAGAUAAAGAAGUCUGAAAUAUAAGAAAAGGUU
rnacentral:misc_RNA from 1 species